rnacentral:rRNA from 1 species
GAUGAACGCUGGCGGCGUGCCUAAUACAUGCAAGUCGAACGAGGUGCCUUUGUAGCAAUACGGAGGUAUCCUAGUGGCGAACGGGUGAGUAACGCGUUGGUGACCUACCCCGAAGUCUGGGAUAACAGUUCGAAAGGACUGCUAAUACCGGAUGUGGUCAUCGGAUUUAGAAACCGAUGUCUAAAGGAUUUAUUCGCUUCGGGAGGGGCCUGCGUCCCAUCAGCUAGUUGGUAGGGUAAUGGCCUACCAAGGCGACGACGGGUAGGGGACCUGAGAGGGUGACCCCCCACAAUGGAACUGAAACACGGUCCAUACACCUACGGGUGGCAGCAGUAGGGAAUAUUGCACAAUGGGCGAAAGCCUGAUGCAGCAACGCCGCGUGUGCGAAGAAGGCCUUCGGGUCGUAAAGCACUUUUCUGGGAGAUGAG